rnacentral:rRNA from 1 species
UUAAAUUGAAGAGUUUGAUCAUGGCUCAGAUUGAACGCUGGCGGCAGGCCUAACACAUGCAAGUCGAACGGUAACAGGAAGCAGCUUGCUGCUUUGCUGACGAGUGGCGGACGGGUGAGUAAUGUCUGGGAAACUGCCUGAUGGAGGGGGAUAACUACUGGAAACGGUAGCUAAUACCGCAUAACGUCGCAAGACCAAAGAGGGGGACCUUCGGGCCUCUUGCCAUCGGAUGUGCCCAGAUGGGAUUAGCUAGUAGGUGGGGUAAAGGCUCACCUAGGCGACGAUCCCUAG